CUAACUACAAUAUGCUAACAUUAGCCUGCUAGCACAACAAUGCCGGCCACAGGCUCGAGCUAAAACAUGCAUUCUUUCUAGAUAUUGAAACACCAUCGAUUGUUUGUUUGAUCAAUGUGGUUAUUCUCAUUUGCUGCUUUAUAGUACAACAGAACUGGCUUCGAAGCGUUAGGCAACAUCUGAAUAGGCCAAGCCGAAGUAGUUGCAAAGCUAACGAGUUGCAUGUCGAGGAGGCUCUGUUCAGGAGCAGGGAACAAGGGAACAGCGUCCAGACGACCCUCGGAAGCUUGGACCAUUGGCACCCAUUCCCCCCCACCCACUGCAGAACUUGCUGAGAAACAACUCAGACGAGGUCUUGAUCCAGCACAGCCAGACAACAAGAGCUGUUGUGAAAGCACAUGGCCUCCUUUUGUAUGAACAUUCAUCUGCAGUUUCUGGCUACAAGUACAGCUGCUGUAAUAUAGGAGGACUGCAUGCUGUGGUAAAACCAGCAAUUUGCUCCUCGCAUCAAA